UACGAAGGGGGCUAGCGUUGCUCGGAAUUACUGGGCGUAAAGGGCGCGUAGGCGGCACUGUUAGUCAGGCGUGAAAGUCCUGGGCUCAACCUGGGAACUGCGCUUGAUAUGGCAGAGCUAGAGGAUGGAAGAGGCUCGCGGAAUUCCCAGUGUAGAGGUGAAAUUCGUAGAUAUUGGGAAGAACACCGGUGGCGAAGGCGGCGAGCUGGUCCAUUACUGACGCUGAGGCGCGACAGCGUGGGGAGCAACAGG
rnacentral:rRNA from 1 species